rnacentral:rRNA from 1 species
UACAGAGGUCUCAAGCGUUGUUCGGAUUCAUUGGGCGUAAAGGGUGCGUAGGCGGCGCGGUAAGUCGGGUGUGAAAUCUCGGAGCUUAACUCCGAAACUGCAUUCGAUACUGCCGUGCUUGAGGACUGGAGAGGAGACUGGAAUUUACGGUGUAGCGGUGAAAUGCGUAGAUAUCAGGAGGAACACCAGUGGCGAAGGCGACUGACUGGACAAGUAUUGACGCUGAGGUGCGAAAGCGUGGGGAGCAAACAGG